UCUUCUGUCUCAAGCAAGAAAAUACCGCGGCGUUUGCGCUUUGCUUGUUUAAUUGAUUAUUGGUUCACUGGUUUAGGACUAUUGUCCAACAUUCGAAUAGAUGAGUUUUGGCGGUCUUUAUAAAUGUCUGGAUAUUUCUUGUAGCUUACACAAACAACCUGCCUUAAGCAACAACACGAUCUACUUACCAAGAGAAAAUACCUUCCAAGAAACAUGCAAUUGCAAUUCAUAAUAACAUUGUUCGUCAUUCUGAAAUCAUCCACUGGCCAAAAACUUACCGCAAAGCUGAUUCUACAACAAGAGAGCCUUGAAACAUUAAAGAACAGUAUCCUCUACGCCUCGCACUCAAAUUCAGCAAUUCAAAGCUAGCAAAUGGAACUGCUCUUCUGUGUGGGCCCGUCCAAUAAAGAAGAGAGACCCUCUGUAUAUGAUCCGACGAUUAGCUAACAGAGAGACAGCCUUCGUACACAGUAUAAAUGCCGCAGCCGUCACGUAUUUCUUAACCAGGGACUGUAGGAGAGGUAUAUUUAGGAAUUGCGCGUGUGUGCGACAGACGGGCCAAGCUGGAGAAUGGCGGGGGUGCAACGACAAUGUCAAGUUUGGUGAAGUGCUUUCCAAACAUUUUCUAAACGCCCGCCAUGUGGACAAAAGCAAGGCCAGAGCGGUCAUCCAUUUGCACAACAAAUGUGUGUGUUAACACCGCUGACCAAAAAAAGCCCGCCGUAGCCUGGUCUUCCUAAAGCCCUCACCGGACUACUGUCAUCGCGACACGAAGAAAGGAUCAACCGGUGUGCUAGGUCGAGUAUGUAGCAGCGACAGCGCCAACUACUUAGAGUGCAAUGUUAAUAAAUGUUAAUGAUACCAACAGUCAAUGUUUUUAAAUUUUAAUGAUAACAACAGUCAAUUGUAAUUAAAAAUACAAAAUUAAUUGAAAAUAUUUUAAGUAUCAAAUAAAACGCUAACGUAAUGUAAAUAUCUCAAACUUGUGUAUCUACCAAACCGUACAAUUACUAAAAACUAAAUCUCAGGGUGGGGACUCUCCCUUAAAAAAAUGUACAUAUGCAUGUCGAGAAAAUUAAUUUUAACCUUGUGGUUAACCCCUAACCUGGGUGUGGUUUCUGUAUGUUUUAACCCUAAGGGAUAGCAGAUAAUUAAUAAGAAUUAUCAGGUUUCUGAGUUUUAUUAACCGGCUGAUUGAAAUUUGAUUAAACAGAAAGCCUUACAGGCUGUGACAGGAAGUGUUCGGGGGUUGGGACGAGCAUAUGUACAUUGUUUAUAUAGAGUUCUCCCCCCGGCCUUUAACCUCAAAUAAUAUUGUACACCAAUGUAAAAAAAAAAACGUUGUCAUUGCAAAUGACGAACGGAGAGUGGCAGACUAACAGAACUUGACUCUUUUCAUAUUUCUUUUAUAGAUUAAAUGAAAAUGUAAAUAAUAAUGCAAUUAUUUUAUGUAUCAUCUUUGUCCUUGCAAAUAUUGAAAACAAUAAACAGCGACCGGUCUUAGAACUAACAUUUUCCCUUUGUUAUUCGUCAUUAACACCUGGCAUUUUUUUAAGAAAAAGGUAUUUUUUAAGAAAAAGUUGUAUAC